AGAGUUUGAUCAUGGCUCAGAUUGAACGCUGGCGGCAUGCCUUACACAUGCAAGUCGAACGGCAGCACGGGGGCAACCCUGGUGGCGAGUGGCGAACGGGUGAGUAAUACAUCGGAACGUGUCCUGUAGUGGGGGAUAGCCCGGCGAAAGCCGGAUUAAUACCGCAUACGAUCUACGGAAGAAAGCGGGGGAUCUUCGGACCUCGCGCUAGAGGGGCGGCCGAUGGCAGAUUAGCUAGUUGGUGGGGUAAAGGCCUACCAAGGCGACGAUCUGUAGCUGGUCUGAGAGGACGACCAGCCACACUGGGACUGAGACACGGCCCAGACUCCUACGGGAGGCAGCAGUGGGGAAUUUUGGACAAUGGGGGCAACCCUGAUCCAGCAAUGCCGCGUGUGUGAAGAAGGCCUUCGGGUUGUAAAGCACUUUUGUCCGGAAAGAAAACCUCUUGGUUAAUACCUGAGGGGGAUGACGGUACCGGAAGAAUAAGCACCGGCUAACUACGUGCCAGCAGCCGCGGUAAUACGUAGGGUGCGAGCGUUAAUCGGAAUUACUGGGCGUAAAGCGUGCGCAGGCGGUCUGUUAAGACCGAUGUGAAAUCCCCGGGCUUAACCUGGGAACUGCAUUGGUGACUGGCAGGCUUUGAGUGUGGCAGAGGGAGGUAGAAUUCCACGUGUAGCAGUGAAAUGCGUAGAGAUGUGGAGGAAUACCGAUGGCGAAGGCAGCCUCCUGGGCCAACACUGACGCUCAUGCACGAAAGCGUGGGGAGCAAACAGGAUUAGAUACCCUAGUAGUCC
rnacentral:rRNA from 1 species